UGGGGGAUAUUGCACAAUGGGGGGAACCCUGAUGCAGCGACGCCGCGUGGGCGAGGAAGUAUUUCGGUAUGUAAAGCCCUAUCGGCAGGGAAGAAAGAAUGACGGUACCUGACUAAGAAGCACCGGCUAAAUACGUGCCAGCAGCCGCGGUAAUACGUAUGGUGCAAGCGUUAUCCGGAUUUACUGGGUGUAAAGGGGGCGCAGGCGGCGCGCCAAGCCUGGUGUGAAAGCCCGCGGCUCAACCGCGGGACUGCAUUGGGAACUGGCGUGCUGGAGUGCCGGAGGGGCAGGCGGAAUUCCUGGUGUAGCGGUGAAAUGCGUAGAUAUCAGGAGGAACACCAGUGGCGAAGGCGGCCUGCUGGACGGCAACUGACGCUGAGGCCCGAAAGCGUGGGGAGCAAACAGG
rnacentral:rRNA from 1 species